CUGAUGAUGAGAAUUUCACACCUAUUCACACCUACUAAUGCAGGAUGUGUGCUUACAGUUCUCGUCUUUGUGAUGUGCCUGGAGGUGUUAAAAUGGAUUUAUGAAGCUAAAGAGAGUCAGAGGAAAGAAACGAGUCUCAAAAACAUCUCAAGGGAAGUACCUUCUACACAUCAAAGUCCUGGACCAGCACCGACACCCGGAUCAUCUCCAGACAACAGAACAUAAACAGCGUGUUAAUUAGCCUGACAGACUCAUUUUGCUGUUCCAUACAGAUGCCGUGUGUGAUGAGGCUACACACUUGCUGCCUGAUGAACUGCAGGUAGAGCUAACUCACAGAAGCGGGUACUGUAAUUCCCCCAACCCAUCUGCCUGGCUCUUUAAUUAGUGCUCUUCAUAAAAUGAUGACAAAGGCAUUAUGUGCAAGCAAUAUAACAUUUUUAAUCAAGAACAUGGUGUGCGCACGGUGCUAUUUUCUAAUAAUUACUGAAUCUAGGAUUUGCUUAAUAUGUGGUUGAACUUUGCUGGGGUGUAGAAAUGAAAUAAUAUAACAAACGCCAUGUUUUACA